rnacentral:rRNA from 1 species
UUAGGAAUCUUGGGCAAUGGGCGCAAGCCUGACCCAGCCAUGCCGCGUGUGUGAAGAAGGCCUUCGGGUUGUAAAGCACUUUCAGCGGUGAAGAAAAGCUCAGGGCUAAUACCCCUCGAGUCUUGACGUUAGCCACAGAAGAAGCACCGGCUAACUCCGUGCCAGCAGCCGCGGUAAUACGGAGGGUGUGAACGUUAAUCGGAAUCACUGGGCGUAAAGCGCGCGUAGGCGGUUUGUUAAGUGGGAUGUGAAAUCCCCGGGCUUAACCUGGGAAUUGCAUUUCAAACUGACCGACUAGAGUACGGUAGAGGGAGGUAGAAUUUCCUGUGUAGCGGUGAAAUGCGUAGAUAUAGGAAGGAAUACCAGUGGCGAAGGCGGCCUCCUGGAUCGAUACUGACGCUGAGGCGCGAAAGCGUGGGGAGCAAAC